rnacentral:rRNA from 1 species
UACGUAGGGUGCGAGCGUUGUCCGGAAUUAUUGGGCGUAAAGAGCUUGUAGGUGGUUUGUCGCGUCUGCUGUGAAAAUCCGAGGCUCAACCUCGGACUUGCAGUGGGUACGGGCAGACUAGAGUGUGGUAGGGGAGACUGGAAUUCCUGGUGUAGCGGUGAAAUGCGCAGAUAUCAGGAGGAACUCCGGUGGCGAAGGCGGCACGCUGGACCUCAUCUGACGGCUGAGGCGCGAAAGCCCAGGGGAGCGAACGGG